rnacentral:lncRNA from 1 species
UUCUUUUCAUUAAUUUUUUUUUUCAGUUUGAAAGAAUCUUUUUGGCAGUUGGUAGACUACCUGCUGGUGGAAGACGUGUCGCGUCGAAUGCGGCAGCGCGGUGUGGCCUAUAUAGCAGGCUUUUUUAAUGAAUAUACAUUGAUUAACAUGAAUCAUUAUAAAAAAAUUCAUAUCAGUUUAUCUCUAUAUCUGUUCCGUGAAACUCGUGUAUAUAUAUUCAUCAAAAAUGCCUGCUAUAUAAGCCACGAGGAACGUCCUGCAGUGAGUUAUUCUAUUUUUAGUUUUUUUUUAUAAUUGAAAAUGAAUUUUAGUGCAUAUUUUUACAUUCUUAACCUAUAUACUUGUGUAUAUUCCGUGAAUUUAGCAAAGAAAAAAAUGUUUUAUUAAGAGAGGUAUAUACUGUACACGAUUCAGUCAAAAAAAUAAUAAAAAUAAAAAAAUAUUCGUAAAAUUUAAGUCUGCGUGGUUGCGAUGCGUCUUGC